CCUAGUCGAGCAGCCUCGACUAGAGUCUUCUCACUUGUUUCUAUUUAUUGCAGGCAAAAAAUAUGUCGGUAUCUGUUGAGUCAACCUGCUAAUAACUGUGAUUUGUAUGUAUGUAUAUUUAUUUAAAGUAGGCAUAUAAGUAUUCACAUUUAUAUAUGUACAUAAGCAGUUCUUUGCCACAUUCUGUAAGCUGACAGAUCUCCAAAUUUUAAAUAUGAUUAAUUCUAUCACAAUUCCGCAUAAAAUUCCUAUGUUAAACUUCUUACCUUUAAGAUAUUCAAAUGAACAAUCGGAGGGGUAACAACAACAAAGAGGGACAGAAAACUCACACCAGCAGAAUACAUCUCCAGGGAGGCGAAUUGAGCUGACAAAAUGGCGUCGAAGCAACGUGUCCAGAAAGAGCAACAAUGACAACAACGACAACGACAACAACAAUGUAAAUGGCAGCUGCAGAGUUUAAGUUGUUUCAUUACACAUAGUCGACAUUCAUAUACAUAUAUAUAUUUGUAUAUAUGUAUAUACAAUAUACCGUUUUACUGCUGCUUAUA